rfam:Puccinia sorghi strain RO10H11247 Scaffold_1202, whole genome shotgun sequence.
GCCCGCUUCGGCGGUGCAUACGUUAAAAUUGGAACGAUACAGAGAAGAUUAGCAUGGCCCCUGCACAAGGA